GAUGAACGCUGGCGGCGUGCCUAAUACAUGCAAGUCGAGCGAACAGAUGAGAAGCUUGCUUCUCUGAUGUUAGCGGCGGACGGGUGAGUAACACGUGGGUAACCUACCUAUAAGACUGGGAUAACUCCGGGAAACCGGGGCUAAUACCGGAUAAUAUUUUGAACCGCAUGGUUCAAUAGUGAAAGACGGUUUCGGCUGUCACUUAUAGAUGGAACCGCGCCGUAUUAGCUAGUUGGUAAGGUAACGGCUUACCAGGGCGACGAUACGUAGCCGACCUGGGAGGGUGAUCGGCCACACUGGAACUGAGACACGGUCCAGACUCCUACGGGAGGCAGCAGUAGGGAAUCUUCCGCAGUGGGCGAAAGCCUGACGGAGCAACGCCGCGUGAGUGAUGAAGGUCUUCGGAUCGUAAAACUCUGUUGUUAGGGAAGAACAAAUUUGUUAGUAACUGAACAAGUCUUGACGGUACCUAACCAGAAAGCCACGGCUAACUACGUGCCAGCAGCCGCCGUAA
rnacentral:rRNA from 1 species